GACGAACACUGGCGGCGUGCUUAACACAUGCAAGUCGAACGAUGAACCAGGGCUUGCCCUGGGGAUUAGUGGCGAACGGGUGAGUAACACGUGGGCAACCUGCCCCAGACACCGGGAUAACCAUUCGAAAGAGUGGCUAAUACCGGGUACGACCACUUUGGGCAUCCAACGGUGGUGGAAAGGAUUCUGGUCUGGGAUGGGACCGCGGCCUAUCAGCUUGUUGGUGGGGUAAUGGCAUACCAAGGCGACGACGGGUAGCCGGCCUGAGAGGGCGACCGGCCACACUGGGACUGAGACACGGCCCAGACUCCUACGGGAGGCAGCAGUGGGGAAUAUUGCGCAAUGGGCGAAAGCCUGACGCAGCGACGCCGCGUGAGGGACGAAGGUCUUCGGAUUGUAAACCUCUUUCAGCAGGGACGAAGCGAAAGUGACUGUACCUGCAGAAGAAGCACCGGCUAACUACGUGCCAGCCGCCGCCGUAACAC
rnacentral:rRNA from 1 species